rnacentral:rRNA from 1 species
CCACCAACUUGAUUGGUUAAGGCUCCCAGUAGACGACUGGGUUGAUAGGCCAGAUGUGGAAGCCCGGUAACGGGUGGAGCUGACUGGUACUAAUAGGCCGAGGGCUUGUCCU